rnacentral:rRNA from 1 species
UGGGGAAUAUUGGACAAUGGGCGAAAGCCUGAUCCAGCAAUGCCGCGUGUGUGAAGAAGGCCUGCGGGUUGUAAAGCACUUUCGGUUGGGAAGAAAAGCUCAGGAUUAAUACUCCUGGGACUUGACACUACCUUCAGAAGAAGCACCGGCUAACUCCGUGCCAGCAGCCGCGGUAAUACGGAGGGUGCGAGCGUUAAUCGGAAUUACUGGGCGUAAAGCGCGCGUAGGUGGCUAGAUAAGUCGGAUGUGAAAGCCCCGGGCUUAACCUGGGAACUGCAUUCGAUACUGUCUGACUAGAGUAUGGUAGAGGAAAGCGGAAUUCCCGGUGUAGCGGUGAAAUGCGUAGAUAUCGGGAGGAACAUCAGUGGCGAAGGCGGCUUUCUGGACCAAUACUGACGCUGAGGCGCGAAAGCGUGGGUAGCAAACAGG